rnacentral:rRNA from 1 species
GACGAACCGUGCGAACGUUGUUCGGAUUCACUGGGCUUAAAGGGCGCGUAGGCGGAUCUGCAAGUCGGGGUGAAAUCCCACGGCCCAACCGUGGAAGAGCUUUCGAUACUGCAGAUCUGGAGGGAGGUAGGGGCGUGUGGAACUUCCGGUGGAGCGGUGAAAUGCGUAGAUAGUCGGAAGGAACGCCGGUGGCGAAAGCGACGCGCUGGACCUCUACUGACGCUGAGGCGCGAAAGCCAGGGGAGCAAACGGG